GAAGAAGAAGAAGAAGAAAGUAAGCGAGCUGUCGUUGGAUCGUGAUCAAGUGGCUGAGAAAAAUCUUGCAUUGGGCUGGUUGGCUACACGGGUGGUCCUGAUCGAUGGACUCAUGCUUAUACAUACGUGCCACAAGGAACACACGAAGUAGUAGUAUAGGUAAUAACGGUUCUCCUUUUUCCUUUAGAAAAAGAAGGUUGCCACGAAACAUCUUGUCGCUAUCCAUAUAGCUUAG
rnacentral:lncRNA from 1 species